GACGAACGCUGGCGGCGUGCUUAACACAUGCAAGUCGAACGAUGAAGCCGGAGCUUGCUCUGGUGAAUUAGUGGCGAACGGGUGAGUAACACGUGAGUAACCUGCCCUUGACUCUGGGAUAACUGCGGGAAACUGUAGCUAAUACCGGAUACGACCCUCGGAGGCAUCUCCUGGGGGUGGAAAGAAUUUCGGUCAAGGAAGGACUCGCGGCCUGACAGCUAGUUGGUGGGGUAAAGGCCCACCAAGGCGACGGCCGGUAGCCGGACUGAGAGGGUGACCGGCCCCACUGGGACUGAGACACCGCCCAGACUCCUACGGGAGGCAGCAGUGGGGAAUAUUGCACAAUGGGCGCAAGCCUGAUGCAGCAACGCCGCGUGAGGGAUGACGGCCUUCGGGUUGUAAACCUCUUUUAGCAGGGAAGAAGCGAAAGUGACGGUACCUGCAGAAAAAGCACCGGCUAACUACGUGCCAGCAGCCGCAGUAA
rnacentral:rRNA from 1 species